rnacentral:rRNA from 1 species
CUACGGGAGGCAGCAGUGAGGAAUAUUGGUCAAUGGGCGGGAGCCUGAACCAGCCAAGUAGCGUGAAGGACGACGGCCCUACGGGUUGUAAACUUCUUUUAUAAGGGAAUAAAGUUCGCCACGUGUGGUGUUUUGUAUGUACCUUAUGAAUAAGCAUCGGCUAAUUCCGUGCCAGCAGCCGCGGUAAUACGGAAGAUGCGAGCGUUAUCCGGAUUUAUUGGGUUUAAAGGGAGCGUAGGCGGGCUUUUAAGUCAGCGGUCAAAUGCCACGGCUCAACCGUGGCCAGCCGUUGAAACUGUAAGCCUUGAGUCUGCACAGGGCACAUGGAAUUCGUGGUGUAGCGGUGAAAUGCUUAGAUAUCACGAAGAACUCCGAUCGCGAAGGCAUUGUGCCGGGGCAGCACUGACGCUGAGGCUCGAAAGUGCGG